AUUUACUCCUAUGGGUUAAGGGUCAUUUACACCAUAUGGGUUAAGGGUCAUUUACACCAUAUGGGUUAAGGGUCAUUUACUCCAUAUGGGUUAAGGGUCAUUUACACCAUAUGGGUUAAGGGUCAUUUACACCAUAUGGGUUAAGGGUCAUUUUACACCAUAUGGGUUAAGGGUCAUUUACUCCAUAUGGGUUAAGGGUCAUUUACACCAUAUGGGUUAAGGGUCAUUUACACCAUAUGGGUUAAGGGUCAUUUACACCAUAUGGGUUAAGGGUCAUUUACUCCAUAUGGGUUAAGGGUCAUUUACACCAUUGGGUUAAGGGUCAUUUACACCAUAUGGGUUAAG